CCUACGGGUGGCAGCAGUGGGGAAUAUUGGGCAAUGGGCGCAAGCCUGACCCAGCAACGCCGCGUGAAGGAAGAAGGCUUUCGGGUUGUAAACUUCUUUUCUCAGGGACGAAGAAAGUGACGGUACCUGAGCAAUAAGCCAACGCUAACUCCUUACCAGCAGCCGCGGUAAUACGUAGGUGGCAAGAGGUAACCGCAAUUAUUGGGGGUAAAGGGCGUGUAGGCGGGAGCGCAAGUCAGAUGUGAAAACUCCGGGCUCAACCCUGAGCCUGCAUUUGAAACUGUGUUUCUUGAGUUGUGGAGAGGCAAUCGGAAUUCCGUGUGUAGCGGUGAAAUGCGUAGAUAUACGGAGGAACACCAGUGGCGAAGGUGGAUUGCUGGACAGUAACUGACGCUGAGGCGCGAAAGCGUGGGGAGCAAACAGGAGUAGAUACCCUAGUAGUC
rnacentral:rRNA from 1 species